AUGCUAGUACUGCUACUGAUGUUAGUACUGCUGCUGAUGUUAGUACUGCUACUGUUGCUAGUACUGCUACUGAUGCUAGUACUGCUACUGAUGUUAGUACUGCUACUGAUGCUACUGCUACUGAUGCUAGUACUGCUACUGAUGCUAGUACUGCUACUGAUGUUAGUACUGCUGCUGAUGUUAGUACUGAUACUGAUGCUAGUACUGCUACUGAUGCUAGUACUGCUACUGAUGUUAGUACUGUUACUUAUGCUAGUACUAAGAUAUGGUAAAUAGGAGUGGCAAUAUCGUCUGCUAUUAUCCUCAGUAAUUUUCUAUCCAGUGUGUCAGACCCCGGUGGCUUGUUAUUGUUUCUAGACAACAAUAUUUUUUUCAUCUCUUCCACAUUGACUUUACAGAAUUGAAAAUUACAAUUCUUGUCUUUCAUAAUUUGGUCAGAUUUACUUGGAUGUGUAGUGUCAGCGUUUGUUGCUGGCAGGUCAUCCCUAAGUUCGCUUAUCUUGCCAAUGAAACAUCAUUAAAGUAAUUGGCAAUAUCAGUGGGCUUUGUGAUGAAGGAGCCAUCUGAUUCAGUUAAUGUUGGCGCUGAGGUGCUCCAAAGCCUUCUUACUAUCAUUCUUUAUAUACUUUUCUUUGGUUUCAUAGUACAGUGUAUUUUUAUUUAGUUUAGUCACAUGUUUUCUUAAUUUGCAGUACAUUUUCCAAUCAGUUGGGCUGCCAUAACAUGUUUCAAUUCCUCAUCAAUCCAAGGGGAUUUAACAGUUUUUACAGUUAUUUUAUUAAUGGGUCCGUGCUUAUUAGUAACUGGAAUAUGCAAUUUCAUAAAUGUGUCAAGUACAGGGUCUGGUUGCUCCUCAUUACACACCACAAACCAGCAAAUAUUCUUUACAUCAACAACAUAGGAAUCACUACAAAACUUCUUGUAUGACCUCUUAUACACUAUAUUAGGCCCAGCCUUUGGAACAGGGGUGUCCGAUGUGACUACCACUGUAUCCUCUGUCAUAGGGGCGUCUGAGGCUACUACCACUGUAUCCUCUGUCAUAGGGGCGUCUGAGGCUACUACCACUGUAUCCUCUGUCAUAGGGGCAUCUGAGGCUACUACCACUGUAUCCUCUGUCAUAGGGGCGUCUGAGGCUACUACCACUGUAUCCUCUGUCAUAGGGGCGUCUGAGGCUACUACCACUGUAUCCUCUGUCAUAGGGGCAUCUGAGGCUACUACCACUGUAUCCUCUGUCAUAGGGGUGUCCGAGGCCACUACCACUGUAUCCUCUGUCAUAGGGGCGUCCGAGGCUACUACCACUGUAUCCUCUGUCAUAGGGGCGUCUGAGGCUACUACCACUGUAUCCUCUGUCAUAGGGGCAUCUGAGGCUACUACCACUGUAUCCUCUGUCAUAGGGGUGUCCGACGCUACUACCACUGAAUCCUCUGUCAUAGGGGUGUCCGAGGCCACUACCACUGUAUCCUCUGUCAUAGUGGUGUCCGAGGCUACUACCACUGCUGAUGGUUGAUGGGGAGUAUAAAACAAUGUUCCUCUGAGGCUUUAUAUCAUUUCAGACCGUUCUGUCCUCAGUGCAUUACAAUACAUACAGCUCUACAUUCAUAUCUACUUACUGUACAUUAUAUUAACUCAGUGUGCACUAAACAUAUCUAGAUAUACAGUAGGCAUCUACGUGCUGUGGAAACAUCAGACUGAAUAAUAUGCAUGUUAACCAUGUAUAAUCUACAUAAUGUUAACCAUGUUGCAUAAUGUUAACCAUGCUGUAUAAUCUACAUGAUGUUAACCAUGCAGUAUAAUCUACAUGAUGUUAACCAUACAGUAUAAUCUACAUGAUGUUAACCAUGCUGUAUAAUCUACAUGAUGUUAACCAUGCUGUAUAAUCUACAUAAUGUUAACCAUGCUUUUUAAUCUACAUGAUGUUAACCAUACAGUAUAAUCUACAUGAUGUUAACCAUGCUUUUUAAUCUACAUGUUAAUCAUGCUGUAUAAUCUACAUAAUGUUAACCAUGCUGUAUAAUUUAUACUCUGAUAUUGGUUGCCGGAUUCCUGAUAAUGCACUGUUCCAAGUGGUUCAUUCCCUCUCCUCUCUCCUGUAACUAUUCCCCAGGUCAUUGCUGUUCCAAGGGGUUCAUUACCUCUCCUCUCCCCUGUAACUAUUCCCCAGGUCAUUGCUGUUCCAAGUGGUUCAUUCCCUCUCCUCUCCCCUGUAACUAUUCCCCAGGUCAUUGCUGUUCCAAGUGGUUCAUUCCCUCUCCUCUCCCCGGUAACUAUUCCCCAGGUCAUUGCUGUAAAUGAGAAUGUGUUCUCGGGUCAUCUUAACUGCUAAAAUAAUUGUUAGCAUUGUUCCAUCUAAUGACAUGUGAAUGUAGUUCUAGAUAAUAUAACUGUAUCCUGGCCCUAUAUGGUUCAGUUGGUAUAGCAUGGCGCUUGCGCAGCCAUGGUUCAAUUCCCGGGACCACCCAUACAUAAAAUAUAUGCACACGUUACUGUAAAUCACUUUGGAUAAAAGCCUCUGCUAAAUGGCAUAUUAUUGAUAUUAUUAUUAGAUGAUAACUAGUCUGCUCUAUAUCUAUAAUGUAGUCCACUGAGGUCCAUUUCAUAGUUGGCAUCAUCAUUACCUGUGAAACCAUACAGGUUUCUGUCUCUCUCCUUUUCCUCCCUGUUUUGGUCCAUAUGUAUCAACCUUCUCAGAGUAGGAGUACUGUUUUAGGAUCUAUAUUUCCUUUCAGAUCCCACUUAAUAAGAUGUUAUGGACAGGAGGGACCUGAGCACUCCUACUCCUGAGACCUUUGAUAUAAACAAGCCCUGCUCUCUCCGCUGUAAUUAUUUGCUCUGUACAGUGAUGCUUACAGCUUCACCUUCAAACAAAAGACUGAAUGUUUUUGUACUGCUCUGAAAUGUCUUG
rnacentral:lncRNA from 1 species